UUAGGGGGUGUUUGGUUCAGAAGUUCUAGGAUUUUUUCUAGUCCCAGGGACUAAUCAAAAAAGACUCUCUAGUAGAGUCUUUUUCUAGUCCAUGUAGAAAAAAUCCCUCCCAUAUGGUUCCUAGGGAUUUUUUAGGGACUUUUUCUAGUCUCUGGGACUAAAAAGUCCCUGAACCAAACACCCCCUUAGACCGACGCGUCACGCAUAGCACGUGAUUUUUUUUCCACUCAAAAGACAAGGCACAUGAUUUAGAUUUAAUUUUUCCUUAAAUUAAGGAUUUAUACCGACCCUAAAAAAAGGACUUAGACUGAUCCAGCGGAUCGUGGCGGCGUGCAACGGCGACAAGAGAUUUGGGGGAGGAAGAGGCCGUCGAUGACACUUGUACGGCGACCCGGAUCAGGUGCUGGCGGCGGAGGAGGGCGUGGAUGGCAGAGAAGAACAAUCGGAGUGGCGGCGCAUCGUGGAUGCGAUCCGCGAUUGAGUACGAUACCAAGCAGGAGGUUGUCCAGAUUCGACAUCGACGAGGGGUACAGUACCUAGCGCCUCCUCGGUGAUCGCCGUCGCCGGAGUGCCAUGCGGGCGUCGUCGUCGCGGCUCCGAGUUUCAGGCCAGCUGUCCAGUUCGCUCGACGAUGCAGACGUACAGUCCACAGCGGAGAACGACAGCGGGCAGAAAACAACAGACAUGAAAAUCAAGAUUGAUUGAUUGUAUCUGACUAUCUGUUAUCGCGAGCCCAGCGAUCUGAAGGUCUUGCAUGUCAUA